UCGGCGCGAUAUGCUUCCUUAAAAGAUUAAGCCAUGCAUGCUAUGAUUCAUCAAUGAAAUUGCGUACGGCUCAUUAGAGCAGAUAUCAUCUUAUUCGGAAUUCAUCCUAUAUGGAUAACUGCGGAAAUACUGGAGCUAAUACAUGCGUUUAAGCCCCGACGCAAGGAGGGGUGCAAUUAUUAGAACAGACCAAACGUUUUCGGACGUAGUUUGUUGACUCUGAAUAAAGCAGUUUACUGUCGGUUUCGACCGACUCUAUCCGAAAAGAGUGUCUGCCCUUUCAACUAGAUGGUAGUUUAUUGGACUACCAUGGUUGUUACGGGUAACGGAGAAUAAGGGUUCGACUCCGGAGAGGGAGCCUUAGAAACGGCUACCACGUCCAAGGAAGGCAGCAGGCGCGAAACUUAUCCACUGUUGAGUAUGAGAUAGUGACUAAAAAUAUAAAGACUCAUCCUUUUGGAUGAGUUAUUUCAAUGAGUUGAAUACAAAUGAUUCUUCGAGUAACAAGGAGAGGGCAAGUCUGGUGCCAGCAGCCGCGGUAAUUCCAGCUCUCCUAGUGUAUCUCGUUAUUGCUGCGGUUAAAAAGCUCGUAGUUGGAUCUAGGUUACGUACUGCAGUUCUCAAUUUGAGUCAACUGUGGUCGUGACUUCUUCUCGCUGGUUUGCGGUUGGGUUCGCCCUUCAGCUGCCAGCAGGUUUACCUUGAACAAAUCAGAGUGCUCAAUACAGGCGCUUGCUUGAAUAGCUCAUCAUGGAAUAAUGAAACAGGACUUCGGUUCUUUUUGUUGGUUCUAGAACUGAUUUAAUGGUUAAGAGGGACAAACCGGGGGCAUUCGUAUCAUUACGCGAGAGGUGAAAUUCGUGGACCGUAGUGAGACGCCCAACAGCGAAAGCAUUUGCCAAGAAUGUCUUCAUUAAUCAAGAACGAAAGUCAGAGGUUCGAAGGCGAUUAGAUACCGCCCUAGUUCUGACCGUAAACGAUGCCAUCUCGCGAUUCGGAGGGCUUGUACCCUGCCGAGGAGCUAUCCGGAAACGAAAGUCUUUCGGUUCCGGGGGUAGUAUGGUUGCAAAGCUGAAACUUAAAGAAAUUGACGGAAGGGCACCACAAGGCGUGGAGCUUGCGGCUUAAUUUGACUCAACACGGGAAAACUCACCCGGUCCGGACACCAUUAGGACUGACAGAUUGAUAGCUCUUUCUCGAUUUGGUGGUUGGUGGUGCAUGGCCGUUCUUAGUUGGUGGAGUGAUUUGUCUGGUUUAUUCCGAUAACGAGCGAGACUCUAGCCUGCUAACUAGUGUGCGAAUCUUCGGGUUCGUAGUACUUCUUAGAGGGAUAAGUGGUGUUUAGCCACACGAGAUUGAGCGAUAACAGGUCUGUGAUGCCCUUAGAUGUCCGGGGCUGCACGCGUGCUACACUGGUGGACUCAGCGGGUUUUUCCUAUGCCGAAAGGUAUCGGUAAACCGUUGAAACUCUUCCAUGUCCGGGAUAGGGUAUUGUAAUUAUUGCCCUUCAACGAGGAAUGCCUAGUAAGUGUGAGUCAUCAGCUCACGUUGAUUACGUCCCUGCCCUUUGUACACACCGCCCGUCGCUAUCCGGGACUGAACUGAUUCGAGAAGAGUGGGGAUCGUCGCUUUGAGGUUUCACGACUUCUUUGUGAUGAAAACCAUUUUUAUCGCAUUGGUUUGAACCGGGUAAAAGUCGUAACAAGGUAGCUGUAGGUGAAC
rnacentral:rRNA from 1 species